rnacentral:tRNA from 1 species
UAAGACCUGCGAGACAUUAUCCCACAUCUUCUGAAUGCAACUCAAAUUCUUUGAUUAAGAUAAAGCCUU